rnacentral:rRNA from 1 species
AGCAGCCGCGGUAAUUCCAGCUCCAAUAGCGUAUAUUAAAGUUGUUGCAGUUAAAAAGCUCGUAGUUGAAUUUCGGGGUCAGUAGUUUGGUCGUGCCACUGGUAUGUACUGGGCUCACUGAUUCCUCCUUCCUGAUGAACUGUAAUGCCAUUAAUUUGGUGUUGCGGGGAAACUGGACUGUUACUUUGAAAAAAUUAGAGUGUUUAAAGCAAGCUAACGCUUGAAUACAUUAGCAUGGAAUAAUGAAAUAGGACGUUCGAUCCUAUUUUGUUGGUUUCUGGGAUUGACGUAAUGAUUAAUAGGGAUAGUUGGGGGCAUUAGUAUUCAAUUGUCAGAGGUGAAAUUCUUGGAUUUAUUGAAGACUAACUACUGCGAAAGCAUUUGCCAAGGAUGUUUUCAUUAAUCAAGAACGAAAGUUAGGGGAUCGAAGACGAUCAGAUACCGUCGUAG